rnacentral:rRNA from 1 species
UACGUAGGGUGCAAGCGUUGUCCGGAAUUAUUGGGCGUAAAGAGCUCGUAGGCGGUCUGUCGCGUCGGCUGUGAAAACUCGGGGCUCAACCCCGAGCCUGCAGUCGAUACGGGCAGACUAGAGUGCGGUAGGGGAGACUGGAAUUCCUGGUGUAGCGGUGAAAUGCGCAGAUAUCAGGAGGAACACCGAUGGCGAAGGCAGGUCUCUGGGCCAUAACUGACGCUGAGAAGCGAAAGCAUGGGGAGCGAACAGG